AAAGCGAAUAGUGAAAGGUCCCGGCUCAACCGGGGAUACAUUAUUCGAACUUAUAAGCUAGAGCAUAGUAGAGGUACCUGGAAUUCCCAGUGUAGGAGUGAAAUCCGUAGAUAUUGGGAGGAACACCGAUGGCGUAGGCAGGGUACUGGGCUAUUGCUGACACUAAGGCACGAAAGCGUGGGGAGCGAACGGGAUUAGAUACCCCGGUAGUCCACGCCGUAAACUAUGGAUGCUA
rnacentral:rRNA from 1 species